GACGAACGCUGGCGGCGUGCUUAACACAUGCAAGUCGGACGGAAAGGCCCUGCUGUUGUGGGGUGCUCGAGUGGCGAACGGGUGAGUAACACGUGAGUAACCUGCCCUUGACUUGGGGAUAACUUCAGGAAACUGGGGCUAAUACCGGAGAGGAGCUCCUGCUGCAUGGUGGGGGUGGGAAAGUUUCGGCGGUUGGGGAUGGACUCGCGGCUUAUCAGCUUGUUGGUGGGGUAGUGGCUUACCAAGGCUUUGACGGGUAGCCGGCCUGAGAGGGUGACCGGCCACAUUGGGCCUGCGAUACGGCCCAGACUCCUACGGGAGGCAGCAGUGGCGAAUCUUGCGCAAUGGGCGGAAGCCUGAUGCAGCAACGCCGCGUGCGGGAUGACCGCCUUCGGGUUGUAAACCGCUUUCGCCUGUGACGAAGCGUGAGUGACGGUAAUGGGUAAAGAAGCACCGGCUAACUACGUG
rnacentral:rRNA from 1 species